CCAGGCCCAGCUGGUAUCAAUAAAAGAGGCGGCAGCAAUAGAAGAAAAUGACGAAUAAGGCUCCACGGCAAAUUGAGAUGGAAUAAUGAAGUUAAAGGAAGAUCCCAAAACAUCAAGAACAUUUCAAUCUUUGGAAGCCACAAGCUCACAAAGACGGCAGGUUCUCCUUCUUUGGGUGCCUUCACACAACCAUUUGUCAGCAAUGCUUUAAUAUGGAUCCCUGAACUGAGUGACCUCGUGGUCCUCACCUCUAGCAUCUUAUUUGUGUGGAAAGGGCUCAACAAGUUGGAGAAUCCUAGACUGUUCAUAAAAACCUUGCUUGAAGGAAACUGUGGUUUGUGUGAACUCAGUCAAAUACUGGAACGGGAAGAAUGCAGAACCCAGGAAUUCCUUCUGAACAGCUGACUUGAACUGACAUCCAUCUAUGGAAAAAGCCAUUUCUGUUUACUUCAACAUUACACAGCAGUAUAAUUUUGGGCAGCGAUCAGAGUUAAGUUGCUGGCUCUUUUCCCACGGAUGUUAAACAAUCAAGAGUCAUCAUACUUUGCAGAACUAUAAAUCCAUGAAAUAUCUAAAGUUACCUAUCCUCCGUUUUUGAAAUAAAAGAACAUCAUUUCCUCUCCCACUCUUGAUAUUGUACUGGCUGGGUAGCAAUUUCACUAAUAUUUACCUCAGCAGUGCUUUUAUUAUUAUUGUUGUUGUAGUUUCUACAAAUUAAACUUUGCUACUCAACGUU